AAGACCUUGCGCUUUUGGAGCGGCCGAUGCCUGAUUAGCUUGUUGGUGAGGUAAAAGCUCACCAAGGCUUCGAUCAGUAGCUGGUCUGAGAGGACGACCAGCCACACUGGGACUGAGACACGGCCCAGACUCCUACGGGAGGCAGCAGUGGGGAAUUUUGGACAAUGGGGGCAACCCUGAUCCAGCCAUGCCGCGUGAGUGAAGAAGGCCUUCGGGUUGUAAAGCUCUUUCAGCCGGAACGAAACGGUCACGGCUAAUACCUGUGACUACUGACGGUACCGGAAGAAGAAGCACCGGCUAACUACGUGCCAGCAGCUGCGGUAAUACGUAGGGUGCGAGCGUUAAUCGGAAUUACUGGGCGUAAAGCGUGCGCAGGUGGUUUUGUAAGUCAGAUGUGAAAUCCCCGGGCUUAACCUGGGAACU
rnacentral:rRNA from 1 species